ACUGGAUUGCUAGGCACAAAGCAAAAAGCCAAAAAUCAGAUGUGGAUUUUAGUGUUAAACAAAAAAGAAAAAAAGUGUCUAUAAAUACUCAGGUGCUAAGGGGGUUCGAUUUAUGGAAACAAAACCAGUUAUUGUCAUUGGAAGAUUCAGAUUUUGAUAACAGAAAUUUUUGUUUCAAAAAUCUUGGUCAUAACUGGUCGUUGUUAACAAACAAUGAAAAAGAAAGCUGGAACAAGAAAGCUUUAUUA